CCCAUUAAGUGAGGAGCAGGCGCGCAAUUACCCAAUCCUGACUCAGGGAGGUAGUGACAAGAAAUAACAAUAAACCGGCUUAUGCCGGUUUAAUUGGAAUGAGUACAAUUUAAACAUCUUAACGAGGAACAAUUGGAGGGCAAGUCUGGUGCCAGCAGCCGCGGUAAUUCCAGCUCCAAUAGCGUAUACUAAAGUUGUUGCAGUUAAAAAGCUCGUAGUUGGAUUUCUGUGGGGACGGAGCGGCCGGCCGCAACACGCGGUUCGAGCUAGCGCUUUCCCUACAUCCUGCCGCGAACCGUGCUACCAUUAGUUUGGUGGCGCCGGGGAUCGGCUCGAUUACUUUGAGAAAAAUAGAGUGUUCAAAGCAGGCCACACGCCUUGAAUAAGUUAGCAUGGAAUAAUAACUAAGGACUUCGGUUCUAUUUUGUUGGUGUUCGGGACUGAAGUAAUGAUUGAUAGGGACAGUUGGGGCGGUCUGUAUUCCAAAGCGAGAGGUGAAAUUCUUAGACCUUCGGAAGACAAACAGCUGCGAAAGCGUUCCGCAAGGAUGUUCCCUUUGAUCAAGAACGAAAGUUGGGGGAUCGAAGACGAUCAGAUACCGUCGUAGUCUCAACUAUAAACUAUACCAGCUAGGGAUCGGCCAACGUUAUUCUAUACCGACUUGGUCGGCACCUUAUGAGAAAUCAAAGCAUCUGGGUUCCGGGGGGAGUAUGGUCGCAAGGCUGAAACUUAAAGGAAUUGACGGAAGGGCACCACCAGCCGUGGAGCCUGUGGCUUAAUUUGACUCAACACGGGAAAACUUACCAGGUCCAGACAUAGUAAGGAUUGACAGAUUGAUAGCUCUUUCUUGAUUCUGUGGGUGGUGGUGCAUGGCCGUUCUUAGUUGGUGGAGUGGUUUGUCUGGUUAAUUCCGUUAACGAACGAGACCCCAGCCUGCUAAAUAGCGCGCGUGAGCUUUGCUCGCGGCGAGCUUCUUAGAGGGACUAUGAUGCGCGAUAGCACAUGGAAGUUUGGGGCAAUAACAGGUCUGUGAUGCCCUUAGAUGUUCUGGGCCGCACACGGGCUACACUGGCGCCUACAACGAGCAUAUCAGCUGGCCCGAGAGGGUCUUGGCUAAUCUUUUGAACCGGCGCCGUGCUUGGGAUUGACCUUUGCAAUUGUUGGUCAUGCAACGAGGAAUGCCUUGUAAACGCGAGUCAUCAGCUCGCAUUGAAUACGUCCCUGCCCUUUGUACACACCGCCCGUCGCUCCUACCGAUGAAUGUUCCGAUGAAAUGUUCGGAGAGUGCCCGUGAACUUGGCUCUGCCUUGCGAACGGGAAGCUCAAAAGUCACUUAAAUAUAACAUUGAGGG
rnacentral:rRNA from 1 species